rnacentral:rRNA from 1 species
UACGGGGGGUGCAAGCGUUAUCCGGAUUUACUGGGUUUAAAGGGUGCGUAGGUGGGUCUGUAAGUCAGUGGUGAAAUCUCCGAGCUUAACUCGGAAACUGCCAUUGAUACUAUAGGUCUUGAAUUAUCUGGAGGUAAGCGGAAUAUGUCAUGUAGCGGUGAAAUGCUUAGAUAUGACAUAGAACACCAAUUGCGAAGGCAGCUUACUACGGAUUGAUUGACACUGAGGCACGAAAGCGUGGGGAUCAAACAGG